UAAUUACAGAUAUGUUAACAUUGUGUAAUGUUUACCGGUAAAUUCCUAAUCUGUAAUACCACUUGUCUGAUCAUGGGAUACUGUAACACCCACAAAUUUGCAGAAAUGAUUGAAUAACCCACUACUUUUCACCAUCGAACAAACUGCAUAACUCGCUAUCAUUUAUACAAGUUUUGGGGUACAGCAAUAUUCUGCAAUGAGACGAGUAGUAUUGGCUGAGAGGUAAUUUAUAGAUAAAUCUGAUACCGUGUUAGAAUGUCUGUAAUUACUGACAAAUAAAGUAAUAGGCUAUGCGGGGACACCUUGCCUGCCUGAGGGAGGCUAGCAGCAGAUCAGCUGUUCGGAAUUUCACACCAAGAUUGACGGCCUGUAUACGAAGGCCGUGGCUGGUGGCGGUGGUGGUGGCGUGGCUAGCUGGCUGUGGUGGGCGUGCACGUGCUAUCAUAUGGGUUGCGUGGUAGGUGCGUUCAUUGGUCUGGGCUGUGUUGGUGCGUGUUCUGAAGAGAUGACCGCAGACACGCUGGCUGCUGAUGACUAGACCCACACAGAGGCAGUGUACUGUACAAGCUGGAUGGAAGUAUGCAAACCUCGCAAUGAAGAUGGAAAAGGUCCGCAGAAAACGACACGCCAAUUUAUUUGAAGUCAAGGACGGAGAUUAAAACG